rnacentral:rRNA from 1 species
GACGAACGCUGGCGGCGUGCUUAACACAUGCAAGUCGAGCGGUAAGGCCCUUUCGGGGGUACACGAGCGGCGAACGGGUGAGUAACACGUGGGUGACCUGCCCUCAGCUCUGGGAUAAGCCCGGGAAACUGGGUCUAAUACCGGAUAUGACUUCAUGACGCAUGUUGUGGAGUGGAAAGCCUUGUGCGGCUGAGGAUGGGCCCGCGGCCUAUCAGCUUGUUGGUGGGGUGAGGCCUACCAAGGCGACGACGGGUAGCCGGCCUGAGAGGGCGACCGGCCACACUGGGACUGAGAUACGGCCCAGACUCCUACGGGAGGCAGCAGUGGGGAAUCUUGCGCAAUGGGCG